UGAGCAAUGUGAGUAAUACAUGCACAAACGAGAUGGAGAAGGGGCUUAGCAGCAUGUGUGCCAACAUGGUACACUUGUGGGAGAUUGAGUUAGACUGCUGGUUAUUGAAACAAAAGUCAGGCUGGUCUGCUUGUCAGCCUUUUGGGAUUAGAGGCAUGCUUAAGGAUGGAAGUGGUCAGUGAGGGAGGAAUCCUCAAAGAGAGCGAAUUCUUGGGUAUCCGAGCCCAUGUGAAGAUUUUCGUGAACUGGCAGCAGAUAGAGACUUUAUAAUGCAAUCACUUGGGCCUUUGGAAUCUAUGUUCCUGCUUCAAAGCCGAGCUCUAUUUUGAAUGAGUUAAGAACAUUUAAACGCCAUCAUUUCACCGAGGAAUGCGAGUGGGACUCGAGCAAAUGAGAUGAGAGAAGGGGCCUAGCAGCGCAUGUGCCAACAUGGUGCACUUGUGGGAGACUGGGUUAGGCAACUAGUGAAUUUUGAACCAAAAAUCAGGCCAGUCUGCUUAUUAGAAGUUCGCACCGAAGAUGGUCGACAAAGAAAAUCUUACUCAUCUGCAAGCAACUUGAAAAAAUAGUUCAUAUGUUACAGGACCUUAAAGAUGUCAUAAAAGUGAGAUUUCUCUCAUGUGGGCCAUAUGUUAUGGGAACUUCCAGAUGUAUGGUUUGGAUCAUCAUAUCAUGGAGUGAACAGGCAAGUUGAUUGAGUGAUUUUUGCUAGCAUAUUUCAUUUAGAACU